UUCAAAAAGAAAAAAAUAAUAAUUGAACAAAUGAAUUUAAUUAUUUAGAGCAUGUUGCUCUCUCUUUCUUGAAACUUUUCUCCAUCCUCUUUUCUCAAAGCUCCUUUCUCGUUGACGUCUCCUCCAGCUUCCGCGACUGGCGGUGGUGUGCGUGGUUCUCCGGCACGGUUCAUUGUGUCUGCGGUUGGUGGGUUCCGUUCUAGUGUGUUGGCGAGUGGGGUAGGAUGUGGAUGAACGGAGUUGGUUUUUAGGGUUCGGAGGCGGUGAUUGGAUGAGGUUUUCAGUUUUCUCGAUCUGGUCCCCGACCGGCAGUGACAGCGCGUGAACGUGGUUGUAAGGCUCCUCCUUUCAGAUCUGGUGGUCUUGCCGUUCAAGCUAUUGAUUUGGACAGGAGCGGUCCGGUGUCGUCAGAGCUCUGUCUUCGCUUUGGGUCCAGUGAGGCUCUCAUCCUUCUUCAUCUGGCUAAGUGGUACUUUGGAGCUCUUUCUUGAAGCGCGCUUGUUCUGGUUUUCGUCCCGCGGCAGUUGUUGUGUGCGGUCGUCGGGUUGUUUCUGGGCUUGGCCGUCUAUGACUUGCGCCUAGAACUCUUCGGUAGUCGCUAAUGCUUUGUCUUCAUGUUUCUCGCUGCUCUUGUUUUGUUGCAUGGCGUCUGCUUGGUGUGGUGCCUCUUCCUUUCCGGCUCUUCGGAGUUCUUAGAGUUCUCCUCUGUUGUUGUCUCUCUCACGAGGCUUUGUAGAGCUUCCAUCGGUUCUCGAUGUGAGCUCGAGGCAAGGUGUCAGACCUCCGUUUGAGUCUCGAAGCUGUGUUUCCUUGAAGGAGACUCGUGUGUUGGUUGGUCAUCCCAGCUCCAUUGUCGGAUCACUUGGUCUCCAGUGGAGGACUGAUCUUAUCUCUAUAUUGUAGGUUUGGGCGAACAACUCAGGAUGUAGCUCUCAUCGCUCCAUGUCUUCUUGCAUCUACGCGCAUUAUGUUUUGAAGUCGAGUGUAAUAAGUGUGACUUUGGUGGUCAGUGGCAUCAGGCCGGAUUGGCACUCUAGUGUGCUCGAUGCAAGUGGAAGUUCUUAGCUCGGGUCUCAGUCUCCUCUACCGGUGGUGGUUGAUGGAUCGGUUUCCUCGGCCGGUCUAUGCAAAGCUGCGUGGGGUCAGUGUCAAUCUUUUGGAGUAGCGGUUUGUGCAAGCCGAUUUCUACCUAGCGUGGUCUAUAUUUUAUCAAAGGCUCCGAACCUAUUUGGCAAUGCUACGGUCUCGGCCAGGCUAUCCUUCUGCGAGUGUUUUGUGUGCUUGUAUUUAAAUGUUAAUGUUAUGUCCUUUGAUCCUCUAAUGUUUUUUUUUGGGUGUUUUCUGCUACUAGUAUUCUCUGUAACUGUUGUUAAAAGUUUAAAAUUUUGGUAUAAAAUUUAAUAUUUACACGAA